rnacentral:rRNA from 1 species
GACGAACGCUGGCGGCGUGCUUAACACAUGCAAGUCGAACGGAAAGGCCCUGCUUGCAGGGUACUCGAGUGGCGAACGGGUGAGUAACACGUGGGUGAUCUGCCCUGCACUUCGGGAUAAGCCUGGGAAACUGGGUCUAAUACCUGAUAGGAGCCAUUUUUAGUGUGAUGGUUGGAAAGUUUUUUCGGUGUAGGAUGAGCUCGCGGCCUAUCAGCUUGUUGGUGGGGUAAUGGCCUACCAAGGCGGCGACGGGUAGCCGGCCUGAGAGGGUGGACGGCAACAUGGGGACUGAGAUACGGCCAAGACUACUACGGGAGGCAGCAGGGGGGAAUAUUGCACAAUGGGCGCAAGCCUGAUGCAGCGACGCCGCGUGGGGGAUGACGGCCUUCGGGGUGUAAACUCCUUUCGCUAGAGACGAAGCUUUUGUGACGGUACCUAGAUAAGAAGCACCGGCUAACUACGUG